UUCACUCUUGUUGCCCAGGCUGGAGUGCAAUGGUGCGAUCUCGGCUCACCGCAACCUCCACCUCCUGGGUUCAAGCGAUUCUCCUGCCUCAGCCUCCUGAGUAGCUGGGACUACAGGCGUGUGCCACCACACCCGGCUAAUUUUGUAUUUUUUAGUAGAGAAGGGGUUUCUCCAUGUUGGUCAGGCUGGUCUCGAACUCCUGACCUCAGGUGAUCCACCCAUCUUGGCCUCCCAAAGUGCUGGGAUUACAGGUGUGAGCCACUGCGCCUGGCCUCAGAUUAGAGUCUAUCUAUUGAUGUAGCUUCGAGUUCACUGACUCUUUUGUCAUCUCAGAUUUGUUGUUGUGAAGCUUGCCUAGUGAAAUUUUCACUUCACAUGUUGUAUUUUUAGUAUUUAAAAAAAUCUUUCUUCCUGUUUUGUUUUUUUUUUUUUUUUUAAUUUGAGACCGAGUCUUGCUCUUUUGCCCAGGCUGGAGUGCAGUGGUGCGAUUAUAUUACUGCAGCCUCAAACUCCCAGGCACAAGUGAUCCUCUUGCCUCAGCUUUCUGAGUAUUUGGGACUGCAGACUGGUGCUACUAUGCUCGGCUUAUAGUUUCUUUCUUUUUUUAUUUUUUUUUGUUGCUGAGACAUCCUGUUUUAUUUAUUAGAGGUUUAUCUUCAGUGGGCAGAUUUGAUUAGCAUUUAGCGACAUUUUUCUCUAAAGCUUCACAUUAUGGACCGGGCGCGGUGGCUCACGCCUGUAAUCCCAGCACUUUGGGAGGCCUAGAUGGGCAGAUCACGAGGUCAGGAGUUCGAGACUAACCUGACUAACAUAGUGAAACCUUGUCUCUACUAAAAAUACAAAAAUUAGCCAGAUGUGGUGGUAUGCACCUGUAACCCCAGCUACUCGGGAGGCUGAGGCAGGACAAUCGCUUGAACCCGGGAAGUGGAGGUUGCAGUGAGCCAAGAUUGCACCACUACACUCCAGCCUAGGUGACAGAGUGAGACUUCAUCUCAAAAAACAAAAACAAAGCAAAAAAAACACUUCACAUUAUAAAAGAAAUGGUAUAGUUUGGAAUAGAGGAAAGAAAUCACUUAUAAUCUUACCAUCCUUACCACAGUCCUAUUAAUAUAUUUUGUGUAGUUUUUUUUUUUUUUUUUUUUUUUUUUUUUGAGAUGGAGUCUUGCACUGUCGCCUGGGCUGGAAUGCAAUGGCGCCAUCUUGGCUCACUGAAAUCUCCGCCUCCUGGCUUCACACGAUUCUCCUGCCUCAGCCUCCCAAGUAGCUGGGAUUACAGGCACACACCACCACGCCUGGCUAAUUUUUUUUGUGUUUUUAGCAGAGAUGGAGUUUCACUAUGUUGGCCAGGCUGUUCUCGAACUCCUGACCUCAUGAUCUGCCUGUCUCGGCUUCCCAAAGUGCUAGAAUUACAGGCAUGAGCCACUGUGCCCAACCUAUUUUGUGUAUUUUCUUUUAAUGUUCAGUGAAUUUUUUUUUUUUUUUGAGAUGGAGUCUUGCUGUGUCGCCCAGGCUGGAGUGCAGUGGUACGGUCUCAGCUCACUGCAACCUCCGCCCCCUGGGUUCAUGCCAUCCUCCUGCCUCAGCCUCCCGAGUAGCUGGGACUGCAGGCGCCUGCCUCCAUGCCCGGCAAAUUUUUUGUAUUUUUAGUAGAGAUGGGAUUUCACCGUGUUAGCCAGGAUGUUGUCUAUCACCUGACCUCGUGAUCCACCUGCCUCGGCCUCCCAAAGUGCUGGGAUUACAGGCGUCAGCCACCGCGCCCGGCCCAGUGAAUUAUUUUUUUAACUUGGUUAAAAUCUUUGUAAGUAGUGUAUUAGUUACCACAUUGUUAUGCAGUUAGACUUUUUUUUUUUUGAGACAGAGUCUUGCUCUGUUGCCUAUGUUGGAGUGCAGUGGCAUGAUCUCGGCUCACUGCAAGCUCUGCCUCCUGGGUUCACACCAUUCUCCUGCCUCAGCCUCCCAAGUAGCUGGGACUACAGGCGCCUGCCACCACGCCCAGCUAAUUUUUUGUAUUUUUAGUAGAAACGGGGUUUCACCAUGUCGGUCAGGAUGAUCUCGAUCUCCUGACCUCCCUAUCCGCCCGCCUCAGCCUCCCAAAGUGCUGGGAUUACAGGCGUGAGCCACCAUGCCCGGACAGACUUUUCUUUUUUUGAGAUGAGAUCUUACUCUGUCACCCAGGCUGGAGUUCUGUGGUGUGACCUCAGCUCACUGUAGCCUUGACCUCCUGGGCUGAUGUGAUCCUCCCACCUCAGCCUCCCCAAUAGCUGGACUACAGGCUCCCGCCAUCUCGUCCAGCUAAUUUUUUGUAUUUUUAAGUAGAGAUGGGGUUUCACCAUGUUGUCUAGGCUGGUCUUGAACUCCUAACCUCAAGUGAUCCACCUGCCUCGGCCUCCCAAAGUGCUGGGAUUACAAGUGAGAGCCAUUGCAGCCGGUCAGACUUUUAUAAAAGUUUUAUGGUUAUAAAUGGUUAUAUAAAAUAUUUUUGUACAUAUAUUUUCAUAUCUUGAAGUUAAAGUAUAUAAAUGAUAUAAAAGACACAAAGGUAACUUAUAAAUGCUAUAUCUUAUAUUAUUUGCUUUGGCUCUCUAGAAGUGAAGUAAUUAAAUCAGAUGUUUUCUUGAUUCUUAUUGCUUAAUUACUGUCCAAAAGAAUAGGAUUAUAGUGUCAUCGAAAUUAUAUAAACAUGAAUUUUCACUUUUUUUUUUUUUUUUUUUGACAGAGUCUCUCUCUGUCACCCAGGCUGGAGUGCAGUGGCGUGAUCUCAGCUCACUGCAACCCCCGCCUCCCAGGUUCAAGUGAUUCUCGUGGCUCAGCCUCCUGAGUAGCUGGGAUUACAGGUGUCUGCCACCAGGCCUGGCUAAAUUUUUUGUUUUUGUUUUUGUUUUUGUUUUUCAGACGGAGUCUUGCUCUGUCACCAGGCUGGAGUGCAGUGGCAGGAUCUCAGCUCACUGCAACCUCCGCCUCCCAAAUUCAAGUGAUUCUUCUGCCUCAGCCUCCCGAGUAGCUGGGACUACAGGCAUGUGCCACCACGCCCAGCUAAUUUUUGUAUUUUUUUUAGAGAUGGGGUUUCACCAUGUUGGCCAGGAUGGUCUUGAUCUCUUGACCUUGUGAUCCGUCUGCCUUGGCUUCCCAGAGUGUUGGGAUUACAGGUAUGAGCCACUGUGCCAGCCCUAAUUUUUGUGUUUUUAGUAGUGACGGGGUUUCGCCACGUUCUCCAGGCUGGUUUUGAACUUCUGACCUUAUGUCAUCCGCCUGCCUUGGCCUCCCAGAGUUCUGGAAAUACAGGCAUGAGCCAUCACACCUGGCCUAUUUUUUAAAAUUAAAACCUUUUUUUAAAUUUCUUUUUUUCUUUCUUUUUUUGGUUCUAGCAGCAAUGGGAUGUUUGUGAUUUUGUUCCUUUUAUCCCUUCAUCAUGUAGUUUUUGAGUUAUUGUGCCUGGAGUCUGUGCCUGAUGUUAGGGGUAGCUACAGCCAUGAAAUGGGGCUUAUAAUCUAGCAGAGGAGUUAACUUAAUUGCAUAAAUAGCUAAUUGUUAUUGUAAUAUAUCCCAAGAAGGAAAGCAUAGGUAAAUGACCAUAUGGCACCUAACCUCGUCUGGAGAUUCAGAGACAUUGUCUUUGAUGAAGUGACUUUAAGCAAGGACCUGCGGGAUACAUAGAAGUUAUCCAGCUGCAAAAGAAGAUGUGAACUUUGUCCCCAUAAGGAUGGAGCUUUAAAAAGAACAGAUAAUGGGGUUUUCUUUUUUUUGAAGCUUCGCUCAUUCGCCCAGGCUGGAGUGCAGUGGUGCAGUCUCCCCUUACUGUAACCUCCACCUUCCGGG